rnacentral:rRNA from 1 species
UACGGGGGGAGCAAGCGUUGUUCGGAUUUACUGGGCGUAAAGGGCGCGUAGGCGGCCUGUGCAAGUCAGUUGUGAAAUCUCCGGGCUUAACUCGGAACGGUCAACUGAUACUGUGCGACUAGAGUGCAGAAGGGGCAACUGGAAUUCUCGGUGCAGCGGUGAAAUGCGUAGAUAUCGAGAGGAACACCUGCGGCGAAGGCGGGUUGCUGGGCUGACACUGACGCUGAGGCGCGAAAGCCAGGGGAGCGAACGGG